rnacentral:rRNA from 1 species
UACGGAGGGUGCAAGCGUUGUUCGGAAUCACUGGGCGUAAAGGGCGUGUAGGCGGUCCGCUAAGUCUGAUGUGAAAGCCCGGGGCUCACCCCCGGAAGGGCAUUGGAAACUGGCGGACUCGAGUCCCGGAGAGGAAGGUGGAAUUCCUGGUGUAGCGGUGAAAUGCGUAGAUAUCAGGAGGAACACCGGUGGCGAAGGCGGCUAUCUGGACAGAGUCUGACGCUGAGGCGCGAAAGCUAGGGGAGCAAACAGG